rnacentral:rRNA from 1 species
UGGGGAAUAUUGGACAAUGGGCGCAAGCCUGAUCCAGCCAUGCCGCGUGAGUGAUGAAGGCCUUAGGGUUGUAAAGCUCUUUCGCCGACGAAGAUAAUGACGGUAGUCGGAGAAGAAGCCCCGGCUAACUUCGUGCCAGCAGCCGCGGUAAUACAAAGGGGGCUAGCGUUGUUCGGAAUCACUGGGCGUAAAGCGCACGUAGGCGGAUUGUUAAGUCAGGGGUGAAAGCCUGGAGCUCAACUCCAGAACUGCCCUUGAUACUGGCAAUCUCGAGUCCGGAAGAGGUAAGUGGAACUGCGAGUGUAGAGGUGAAAUUCGUAGAUAUUCGCAAGAACACCAGUGGCGAAGGCGGCUUACUGGUCCGGUACUGACGCUGAGGUGCGAAAGCGUGGGGAGCAAAACAGGAUUAGAUACCCUGGUAGUCCACGCCGUAAACGAUGGAGGCUAGCCGUUGGCGAGCAUGCUCGUCAGUGGCGCAGCUAACGCAUUAAGCCUCCCGCCUGGGGAGUACGGUCGCAAGAUUAAAACUCAAAGGAAUUGACGGGGUCAUAGCUGUUUCCU